rnacentral:lncRNA from 1 species
UAUCCAUCCAAUGGUCAUUUAGUAAGCACUUUUGUGAGUAGAUUAAAAGAAAGAUAAACUCCAGUUUAGACACUAAAUAAUAUAUAAUACAUCAUAUAUAAUAUACUAUACUAUAAUAUUAAUAAUAUAAUAUAUAAAUAUUAUAUAUAGUUAUAUAGAUACUAAAUAAUAAAUGGAAACAUUGGCUUCAGACAGAGAUGCGCCACUGGAAAGAUAUUCUACAGACUGCUUUGGAAGUAAAACCAUUCCUGCAGUCGUGAAAAGCCACUUAGCUGAGCCCUGGAUGCAGGUCUUGGUUGGACACAACAAAAUGCUUACUAACCUCAGGAUAUAAAAAUUUCAGUCCCUUUCUGUUCUCAAGAAGAGUGAUGCGAAUCCUUCCGCUUCUGCAGGCGUUCAUGCGGCGGUGCCUUCUUCCUACCUGUCAGGCUCAGUGAAGAGCAUGAAAGGCAAUCCAGUGUCAAACCUAUUUAAAGAGUCACAGAAAGGUUUGUUUUCAUAAGAUGCAGGAUUCUGUUGAAACUGAGGAGUUCUGCUCGCCCUCAACGUAGCCGACAAUUUAAAGAUUCCAAGCGCCUGGGCUCCAUUUACCACUUCUCAGUUGCUCCCUUUUCUGCAGUUUAUCUUAGGAGACACUUCCAGCUGUCAGCAUCUUCUCCGUUCCCGAGUCUGUUUUGCCUUGGUUGAGCAUGCAGCUCUGGAGCACUGUGUGGUGUGGGUCCCAGCUCUUGGUGACCACAGAUGAGAAGCCAUUUGUCUUAAGAGUCUUGCCACCUCAGGAGCAUGUGGAAGAGCAGUCAUGUCAGUAAGCCAUCGCCCCAGCUGCAGCCAGCUGCUUGCAAGAAGGCAGAGAGAAGAGGGCAGAAUAGAGAUUCCAGUUCUCAGAAGACAUCAUUCUCUACUAGACACUGUGUUGUAGUCAUUGCUGGCUGAGGUUCAUUUAGAAUCUUCUCAGAUGUGUUGCUGAUAAGGUUAGCAUACGAAGGCGAACAAUGAAAAAGUCUGAGGUCAGUUAUGGCUUAGGAGGGCGGAUAGAACAUAAGAAGUCACUGUGAAGAUUUCCUGGUCAGUUUUUAUUUCAGAGUUCAAGUCUUUUCCAAAGGCAAUAGUACACGACCAGAUCAGACCAAGGCACAGAGAAGUAGACCAAUAACAGCCUUAAUAAUGCAUUUCUUCAGGCUGAAGAGAUGGCUUGGCAGUUAAGAGCACUGAUUGCUUUUCCAGAGGUCCUGAGUUCAAUUCCCAGCAACCACAUGGUGGUUCACAACCAUCUGCAAUGGAGUCUGAUGCCCUCUUCUGGUGUGUCUGAAGACAGCAAUCUACUCACAUAAAAUAAAUCUUUAAAAUAAUUCAUUUCUUCUUCUUUCCAAAUCUAUAAAUUAUAUGGAAAGAGUGCGGUUCAUCCAGUUGAAAAACAAGCAAAAGGGAAUAUUUAGGGUCAUGGGUACAAGAGAAUCCACUGUGACAUGCCAGUCCUUACUAUUAGAGAGACGUUAGAGUUCUUGACUUUCAGGAGAGAAAAAAACAUGCACUUUUUUUUUUCCAUGAGAGAGGGUUUCUCUGUGUAGCCAUCUUUCCUGGAAACCACUGCAUAGACCUUGUUGGCCUCUAACUCAGAGAUCUGCUUGCCUUUACCGCCUGGGUGCUGAGACUAAAAAGGAGUGCAUCACCAGGCCUGGCUACUUUAAAUUCUUAAUUGCUCCUGAAUCCAAAUUUGCUCUCAGUGCAUAACUGAAAUGUAUUUUAAAUUCAUUUGUCUAUUUAUACAUAUUUAUGGAGUAUCAGCUCUGUAGGACUUCUUCCAAAAUUACAAACACACACACACACACACACACAACUUCU